GAUGAACGCUGGCGGCGUGCCUAAUACAUGCAAGUAGAACGCUGAAGGAGGAGCUUGCUCUUCUGGAUGAGUUGCGAACGGGUGAGUAACGCGUAGGUAACCUGCCUGGUAGCGGGGGAUAACUAUUGGAAACGAUAGCUAAUACCGCAUGACAACAGGUAUUGCAUGAUGACUGUUUAAAAGGGGCAACUGCUCCACUACCAGAUGGACCUGCGUUGUAUUAGCUAGUUGGUGAGGUAACGGCUCACCAAGGCGACGAUACAUAGCCGACCUGAGAGGGUGAUCGGCCCAACUGGGAACGAGAAACGGCCCAGACUCCUACGGGAGGCAGCAGUAGGGAAUCUUCGGCAAUGGACGGAAGUCUGACCGCGCAACGCCGCGGGAGUGAAGAAGGUUGUCGGAUCGUAAAGCUCUGUUGUAAGAGAAGAAAGAGUGGGAGAGUGGAAAGUUCACACUGUGACGGUAUCUGACCAGAAAGGGACGGCUAACUACGUG
rnacentral:rRNA from 1 species